rnacentral:rRNA from 1 species
UACGGAGGGUGCAAGCGUUAUCCGGAUUUACUGGGUUUAAAGGGUGCGUAGGCGGGUCUUUAAGUCAGUGGUGAAAACUUCGAGCUUAACUCGAAAACUGCCAUUGAUACUAUUGAUCUUGAAUUUAGUUGAGGUUGGCGGAAUGUGUCGUGUAGCGGUGAAAUGCUUAGAUAUGACACAGAACACCGAUUGCGAAGGCAGCUGGCUAAACUAAAAUUGACGCUGAGGCACGAAAGUGUGGGGAUCAAACAGG